GUCCGGGUGGCGGAAUAGGCAGACGCGCUAGCUUGAGGUGCUAGUGCCGCGUAAGCGGCUUGAGGGUUCAAGUCCCUCCUCGGACA
rnacentral:tRNA from 1 species